rnacentral:rRNA from 1 species
GAUGAACGCUGGCGGCGUGCCUAAUACAUGCAAGUCGAGCGAAUGGAUUAAGAGCUUGCUCUUAUGAAGUUAGCGGCGGACGGGUGAGUAACACGUGGGUAACCUGCCCAUAAGACUGGGAUAACUCCGGGAAACCGGGGCUAAUACCGGAUAACAUUUUGAACCGCAUGGUUCGAAAUUGAAAGGCGGCUUCGGCUGUCACUUAUGGAUGGACCCGCGUCGCAUUAGCUAGUUGGGGAGGUAACGGCUCACCAAGGCAACGAUGCGUAGCUGACCGGAGAGGGUGAUCGGCCACACUGGGACUGGGACACGGCCCAGACUCCUACGGGAGGCAGCAGUAGGGAAUCUUCCGCAUUGGACGAAAGUCUGACGGAGCAACGCCGCGUGAGUGAUGAAGGCUUUCGGGUCGUAAAACUCUGUUGUUAGGGAAGAACAAGUGCUAGUUGAAUAAGCUGGCACCUUGACGGUACCUAACCAGAAAGCCACGGCUAACUACGUGCCAGCCGCCGCAGUAA